CUGGGCUGGGUGGGCCGGAGCAGUUUUCCUCCUCGGGGUCGGGGAGGUGUGGCGUCGCGUGAGGGGAGGGAGUGGAAGGAGGGGGGAGGGGGCGGUCCGGGGAGGGCGAGGGAGAGGAGCGAGCCCACGAAGGAGGGAGGGAGACAGGUGAGGUGAGCGGUGACCGAGGCAAGCCAGGCACUUAGAACUGGCUGGGCGGACUCGGCCGUCGGUGGCCACCGGACGACGGCGGAGAGCGAGGUCACCACCACACCGAUGCUCGACGCCUGCCUCCCCCAGGCCCUACCUCGCCAUGCUCCACUAGUUCCUGUAUCCGAGCCCGUUGAAGCCCCACCGGUUCGACCAGGCCCUGCAGUCCUGGUUCCUCGAGAAGCGGCAGUUCAAGUAGCUCUCCCCCGUGUUCUAACUACUCUUACAAGUUUCCCUCUAAUACUUGGUGUCUAGAGACUCCGUAGGCUUAUAACAAUCUAAGUUUCUCCAACACGAUUGAGGGUGUGUAAACCGGUAUCAAUACCUUAUGCGACGACCGCCACUCGAUAAGCUUUCCUAGACGUCAAGACCUUCUAAAUCGCUCUUACUCCGAUCCAAGAAGAAGGUUGUUAACGAAAGUCCUCAAUCGAUAACGGUAAGGUACGUUUAUACAGUAUCUCUAGACUUUGAUCUUUUGUGUGAGGACCUACCUUCGCUUCGUGGGGCCGAGUUCUAUACACUAAAGCCAAUGAGGUUCAGGAGACACAACGUAAGAGUUGGUUUUAGUUGGCAGCCAUGAGGACGGAUGUAACGGGGGCUCCAGGAAAGAUCUUCCCUUAUACUACCUUUCCAGCGACUACAGACCAGCACACCUCAUUGGGAUAUACACUACGAACAGCCGCGAAUAGGAAAACUCCUGGGUCUGCUUGGUUUCUUAAAGGCGUUCUGUUAAUGAGCCUAUGAGUCGCAUGUUAUACGUCAUGGGCUAAUGCAGGCCUAAAGUUACCUCACGUCCGUAAACGACAGGGCCUAAAAGCACCGUUUGGGACUCGUUGCUUAUUGGUAGGUUCUCUAGUUCUUGGUGGGUACCAAGGAGUUCUUAGACGGCUAGCUCUACUGGCUGCUCAUGGUCUACUCGGACGUAUACCAGCCGCAGUUGCGAGGGGGCGUCUGGGACCUCCUCCAGUACCGGUAGUAGGUCCUCCGUGCCUAUGGCCCGCUGCCUAGGUUCAAACGGCCCGUCGACAGCCAAGGGCCCGAUCCCUCGUACCUCGAGCUGCUGUAUCUGCUGCAGCUGCGCCUGCAGCUCCUGUCGCCGCUGAAACACACGCGCAACACUGCCCGUCCG
rnacentral:rRNA from 1 species